GACGAACGCUGGCGGCGUGCUUAACACAUGCAAGUCGAACGGAAAGGCCCUGCUUGCAGGGUACUCGAGUGGCGAACGGGUGAGUAACACGUGGGUGAUCUGCCCUGCACUUCGGGAUAAGCUUGGGAAACUGGGUCUAAUACCGGAUAGGAGCCAUCUUUAGUGUGGUGGUUGGAAAGUUUUUUCGGUGUAGGAUGAGCUCGCGGCCUAUCAGCUUGUUGGUGGGGUAAUGGCCUACCAAGGCGGCGACGGGUAGCCGGCCUGAGAGGGUGUACGGCCACAUUGGGACUGAGAUACGGCCCAGACUCCUACGGGAGGCAGCAGUGGGGAAUAUUGCACAAUGGGCGCAAGCCUGAUGCAGCGACGCCGCGUGGGGGAUGAAGGCCUUCGGGUUGUAAACUCCUUUCGCUAGGGAAGAAGCUUUUUUGUGACGGUACCUAGAGAAGAAGCACCGGCUAACUACGUG
rnacentral:rRNA from 1 species